CGGGGGCGCCGGGGUGCCCGGACGGGGGGCCCCGAGCAGCGGCUGCGCAUUUUUCACGGAGAUGGACGGCUUCGGAGGGCUGUCCGAGGGGGUCUCGGGGGACCUUGCCCCCUUCUCCAGGCUCUGCAGCCUCCCCACAAACCCUAAAGCCGCCCCCCCCGCCGCCCCACUAUCUUCACAUUCCCCCUUCUCGAUCUCGGGUGCGGGGCUCAGGGUUUUCGCUUCCUUCACCCUCAUCCCCAGCACCAAUACUGAUUUGGGGUUCUCCCCCUGUCCCACAGCCAAGCACCGGUCCCGCGGCGGUGGGACCCCCGUCGGGGGGCGGCCGGAGCCCAGCCAGCCCCCGCCCGGCUGCCGGCUCCGGGCAGCUCCUCGGAUGCUCCGCGGCAUGGGGGGACUGAGCGGAGAGCUUUACAGACAAGACAACAACAAAAGGCACAUAUGGUUAAAAUAAGGAGAGGGAGCUUUCUGCCUUAGGGGAUUGGCAAUAACUAGCCAGAAAUGCAGGGCACUGCGUCCAAAGUUCUGGUGGGCUUCUGCAGGAUUGACAACUUAAAUCACACUACAAGCAUCAAUUUGACAAUAUUUGUAAACUUCUUGUUUCCAGGGAUCUUCUUGAUCAGAGAUAGACCAGUGGAAGAAGGUUGGCAGCAGCAUUUGGCAUGCAUGGAAGAAUUCUGGGAUCUGGGCCUUAUAGUCAUCAUAAAGAAGUGAGCUUCAGCUUCCAAGAAGAGAAGAAAGUAAAGAGGUAUAAUUGGCUGAAAAAGGAUAUGCACAUCUCUGUUGGAUCAAUAAGCCAUGGCCAACUCCAAGACAGAAGUGUGUAAUAUAAAUGUAAAGCACUGUAAUUAUUUUCAGGUAAUUAGAGAGCUUAUAAUUUGCUUCACAUUCUCGAGAAAUCUGUCUAGGUGUUUCAAACUCAGCUGACCAAAGCCUUUAUGUUGAUUCAGUAAUCUACCUCUCAAAGAAAUCUGAGACCAUUGACGGACCCUAUUUCCAUCCUGUUAAAGAUGCUUUGUACAUUAAUUGUAAAAUUUGUAUUUGCGUAAAAAGUAAUAGGGGAAAUAUCCCAAGUUAAUGGAAAGCACCUCAAUAGAUCUGUGAGCUCUGGACUGGGAUUCUGAAGAACUUGAAAGAGUAGGGUGAAAAAGAGGUUUUGUCAUGAAAGAACUAAUAGAAGGAGACUUACGAGAGAAAUAUUUGAAAUUUUCCAGUGGUGUUGAAGAACUUCCCUCGGGCAUCUUACAAUUAGGCACCUGGCAUACUGACUGACCAUUUAGGAUGGCACAAAUCUUGGCAAUAUUGCAAGAGUAAUAUUUUCAUGAGGAGGAACUGUUACAGAACAAUGCAAAGUCACUUUGGUCUUCAAUGUCAGGCAGACAUCUUAGGAAGAUGAGUCACUUUAUUAUUAAUUAUGACUCUUUAAAAAUGCUUCUAUUCCUUGGGGACAAGACGAUGAACAUUUAUCUUUCUGGCUAUGUCUCCUAGAGUAAUCUGAAAGCAUCAAAGAAAUGCAAGAUCUUGUUCCUGGUGUGUAUUUCCUUUGGGCUAGUCUUUUAGGACUCCAAAAGGUGUUGAGAUAUGGUCGGUAUUAUGCAACCUUCAACAGUAAAGCGGAUGUACAUCGUUCUUCUUUUGAGAAGUCUUAUUCUGAUCUCUGGAGACCCAUAAUGUCAUCCUCACUCAACCAUUUAGAGCAGAAAAGGAACUUUUCCAAUGCACUAUAGAAGCAGCAAUGUUUAGAUGAUCAUUACAUGUAGAGUUUGAUGAAGCAGGCACUUUUCCUGCCAUAUGUUAAAUAAACAGCUGGAUACAGUGUACUGUGUGGUGAUGCAGGUUGAUACUCUGCUGCUGAAUAAUAUGAUGUCAUGUUAAGACUUCAACUAUUGCCUUAUAUAGUCCUCAAGAAAUAUGAUUUUUUUUUUUUCCACAUCUGAAAAUUCACAGACAAAUAUGCAACUGAUCAAAUCUUGCACAGAUGCUAACACCCAGAUAUGUGUGUCUCUGUGUGGAAGUAAUCUAUAGCUAGCAGAACUCUUGGAUAGAGAAAUCCAGUAAAAAUACAGAUUAGGCACACAUAAGUUAAUGUCUAACUAGUGUGCCAAGAAUUUAUAGUUUUAUGAAAUCUGUAUUAUGUACAGAUCUCUCAAUAUUUUCUUCUAAAAAUUUUCAUUAGUGUGUAAAAGGGAGGACAUGGAUUUCUGUAAUAAUCAGAAGAACCAUCUCAUGUACAACAAACCAAAAUAACCACAUGACCUUGUUUCCUUAGCCUCCCUGUCUGUCCAAAUGUCUAUUAGAAGUUAGCACUUGAGCAAUCCUAUCUUUUCAUAAUAAGCUAUACAAUAAAACUAUGCAAUUUAACAAUAAUAAUGAAUAGUAAGUUGCAUGCUGGGUGAAACUUUUUGAGUGAGACUGUCCAAUAUUUCCUGUGCUAAAAUGCUUAGAUUCAUAACAGAUAAAUGAAGAAAUGCAAAUACAGACAUGUUUUCUUUUUUAAGUGAGGAAAUACAUAUAUGUGAGUAGACACUCGUCUUGUUCAGCUUGAUGCACCUAAUAUCCUCAGUAAAUUAGGAGGAACUAUUUUAAAAUGAAGGAACAACAGAAGGUAUCACAGCAAAUUCAGAGCUGGAACCCAGGGUUAAUACUUGCAGGAAUUCAAGCCUGCAUUCCUUACAAAACUUCCAUUUAACUUAUUAGCCAGGGGAAAGAAAAGGAAAAAUUUCUUUGUGUGUGCCUAUGUAUGUUGUAUGCAUAUAUACAUUAAAUAUACAUAUGCACAAACACAUAUAUAUGGACUUUACUUAAUCUUUUUAUAAAUAAGGCCUAGUCUUUGCAUCUUCUCAUUAAAUUAAUGGGAUUUUUGCUAAAGUAAAAGUUCUGAAUACGGUUGCACCAGAUAUAUUUCUUUGACAAACAAUGAAACAUGCAGCAGAGUUUACAAAAAACAUUCUGUUGUUGUGGAGCUACUGAGCAAUUGGAGCCAGCAAACAGGUACUGGAGGAAGGUGUCUGUUAAUACAUAAUAUGUUCUUUAUCUGUGUGUAAAGUAUAUGUAUAUACAUUAAUUGUCAACUGGUUUAUUGAAAGGUUUGGUAGAAAGGAAUGUAAACACAGAUUGGAUUUUCUACAAUACCUUCACUGAGGGCUCAGAUGAGUUUGGGUGAUAGACCAAAGCAAUAUGAUCAUCUGAACUGAUUUCUUAUUAGAGAAAGGCCUUACAACUUUGCUCAUGAAAUCCCCCUUUGCUUGCUUCACUCCAACACCGUGUAUUUUUCAUGCACAGAUGAUCACUGACUGAUCACAUUACUUUCUGGGUAUCUUCUGACUGCGGUUCAACCUCAGAAACAAAAAGGAGCAAAGGAAAACUGACAAGUCCAUUUGCUUUAUGUGACUCCCCACUUCAGUCACACAAGAAAAGGCCUUGCCUUUUUAACUUAUGCAGCUGAUGCCUGGAUUUUCUCUUCAUAUGUAUUCUCUAAAACUAAACUGUGGACUCUAGAGGAAACAAGCUUAAUAUACCAUGUGCUUCCUAUUUGUUGAAGGUAUCAGUGCUAGAGCUCCCUUGGCAUGCUAAAAUGUGAACAUUUUUACAGUGUAACAGAUUAUGGAAGCUGCUCUUGAUAAAUUCCAGUAACAGCAUUUUACACUCCACGUGCUCCUUUCUGUGAAUGACAGAUUGCCAUAUUAGGUCUCUAAAGAAGUUCCUGACAAGGGUGAUUCAGCACAUGAAGAAAGUCAACCAUGUGUCUAGCUCAGUGUCUAUAUUCCUUAACAUAUUUACUCGGGACUGCAAUGUUGUUCUCUCCAGUGUACCAGAGCGAAGAGAAAACUGUUCAACGUGAGACACUCCUUCACACCAUUAGGUCCUCUGCUGAAAUAAAUCUGAAAACAAGCAUAUGGGUAUAUUUACCUCUCCUCUGCCCCUGACUGGUCCUAAAAAUGUAUGAAAAAGAUAAAGUUCACUGCUUUUUUUCCUUUUGGCUGGGCAGUAGGAAAAGGGACCAUGGUAGAUAGGCUUGGGUAGAUGAUGUGCUUGGUGGGAAGAAGGUUCUAGAGAUUAAGCAACUUGCCUAGUAACUACUAGAAAUCUUUAUGUUGUAAAUAGAGCAACCAGAGCAAUGUAUCAACUGAUGCUGUAUUCUGAAGGUGGUUUUAGUAAAAGUCAGUUCAAAACCUUGCCCAGUAGGAUUCUGCCAGGCAUGGAAAUCACUGCUGGUUUUCAGCAGAUAUUCAGUUUAUUUUUCAAUGGAUAUUCAGUGGAACUAAUGGGAACAAAGUUUGAAGACAUAAAUAUAUAUUUGUUUGUGACUGACUAAAUACUUAAAACUUGUAUCAUUAGCUGUUAAGUGCUCUCUAAAUACAGCACAUAGAUUUAGUUGUAAAUACUGGAAACAUUUUGCCUGAUUUAGAAACAUUAAGAAUAACCCAAGCCUUUCUCAAAUGCCCAUUUAUAACUUUGCUCAGAUCUCUGUUUUUUGGUUUAUUCUUCAUCACUCAAGGUGAACGCAUGAGAUUCCACUUCAAGUUUUAACUUAAUACCUUCACUUAAGAAACAGGAGAAAAAGAAUGUUAUAUGAAUUGAACGUCAUAUGAUUUGGCAAAUCACUUUCAGGAAUUCCAUAAGGAAGAGCAGAAAAAAAAUAAAAAUACACAGUUGCAGCGUUAGAAGCAACAACCAAUAGUGCCAUUACCAUCUAAAAGCACACACUUUUCAGUCUGACUUGGCUGGUGAAAUGUAGAAGCUUAAUGUGGAUUACACUUUUUAAAUCUUUCAACAUAAAAAAAUAGAAGAGUUGUAGCGUGUUUUUAUUUCAGAGUACUUUGCAUGCAAUCUCAAGAUAAAUGGUAGAGACUGAUUGUUUUUGUACCCGUGCCAAACAUUGUCGUUAGGUAUUGCUGUUUUGUUUCAUCAGCCAGAUGAAUUUACACAGGGACAUCGAUCAGGUACCUACAUUUAAAAGAACACACUGUCAAAUUAGUGGAUAGAAAGAGCACAUUAGGAGAGAGAAAUUAUCUGGUGAAAGAUUUAAAGACUGACUCACUUGUGUUUUGUUUCAUUAAAUGUGGGGUAGUCCCCUUUCAUUUUCCGUUUAGCACAAACAUUCACAGACUGCAUUAAAAUAUCAGUUUUGUAACAAACUCUCUGGCUCAGGACACACAUAAGCCUCAUUGGAAAAAGCACAGCUCCCCUUCUUACAGAUUCUAGAUGACUUUUAAAUUUGGGGCCCCGAGCUGGGCAACCACACUGGAUGUCUUGGAGUUCACCUGUGUACGCCUGUAGUUCACAGUGCUGCAAAGCCACCCGACGUGCUGCAGGGGGCUGGUGGCUGCUUCUCCAAAGGGGGGAGGCUUGGCAUGAGGAGGGGGUGCACAGCCCUUGAAAGGACACAGAAUAUAUUAUAGGACAAACACAUGCAAGCACAAAAGUAGGAAAACUGUCCAGCUAUUGUUUUCACCUCUUUCCUCUGAGAUGCUCUUGAAACAUACUCUUGAUUCUCACACUUAGGGUCAAGGGAGCAACUUGUGGUUAUAAUGGAGGGGUGAGCAGCAGGUUGGAGAGUGGGGGCACACAGGAGUUAGGGCAGAUCCAAAGAAGUAGAGAAAAGAAGAACAAGGGAUUAAAAAAAAUCAGAACGUAUAACUGACAGCAUUUCAUCUUUAUUUUGGUAACACUGGAUAUUGUUGAUAUUUGUGUUGGCUAAAAGCCCUUGUUCUUCAAAAGAGUUUUUCAAAGA